GCUUAGGAAAAGUAUAAAAGUUCCCAUACCCCUAGCAGCCUCAUUCACUCAGCUUCACGCCUAUCUCUGGUGUUCUUGCUGGCAUUCAAGGUUUCCCAGCAUUCCAUAAAGAUGUGUUCCCGUGAGCCCCGAGGCUGUCAUGACAGCGGCAGUUCCUCCUGCCACGACAGCGGAAGCUCCACCUGCCACAGCAGCGGGGGCGGGUCGUGCCAUGAUGUGAAACCUCUGCCCCAGUGCCCCACCCCUGUGCCUUGCCAAACCACCACCCUCCCUUGUCAGCAGCAGACCAAGCAGCCCUGCCAGUGGCCACCGCAGAAGCACCAGAAGUAAAGGCGGACAAGAAGGAGAAAAAAGAAGUCCAUCUCAGAAGCCGUUUGCUUCUCACUCUCAUUGAGCUGGAAACGCUUUGCCACCUUACGUCUUUCAUAAAUUGCACAUCCUCUCUCCUCUGCUGUGUACUGUAGCCACCCAGGGUGUUACUAACACCCUCAACAAAUGUGAUUGGUUCCUGCAUGCUCAGAUAAUUUAAUCCUGCCUCCGUCUCUGGUCAGAAAUGCCAGACAUUAAAUUUUAAUAUCCGUGAGA